UACGUAGGGUGCGAGCGUUUGUCCGGAAUUACUGGGCGUAAAGAGCUCGUAGGCGGUUUGUCGCGUCGUCCGUGAAAACUUGGGGCUCAACCCCCAAGCUUGCGGGCGAUACGGGCAGACUUGAGUACUGCAGGGGAGACUGGAAUUCCUGGUGUAGCGGUGAAAAUGCGCAGAUAUCAGGAGGAACACCGGUGGCGAAGGCGGGUCUCUGGGCAGUAACUGACGCUGAGGAGCGAAAGCAUGGGGAGCAAACAGG
rnacentral:rRNA from 1 species